CAGCCGCCGCGGGAAUACAGAGGGUGCGAGCGUUAAUCGGAUUUACUGGGCGUAAAGCGUGCGUAGGCGGCUUUUUAAGUCGGUUGUGAAAUCCCUGAGCUUAACUUAGGAAUUGCAUUCGAUACUGGGAAGCUAGAGUAUGGGAGAGGAUGGUAGAAUUCCAGGUGUAGCGGUGAAAUGCGUAGAGAUCUGGAGGAAUACCGAUGGCGAAGGCAGCCAUCUGGCCUAAUACUGACGCUGAGGUACGAAAGCAUGGGGAGCAAACAGGAUUAGAUACCCGUGUAGUCCCUGUCUCUUAUAC
rnacentral:rRNA from 1 species